rnacentral:rRNA from 1 species
GAUGAACGCUGGCGGCGUGCCUAAUACAUGCAAGUAGAACGCUGAAGGAGGAGCUUGCUCUUCUGGAUGAGUUGCGAACGGGUGAGUAACGCGUAGGUAACCUGCCUGGUAGCGGGGGAUAACUAUUGGAAACGAUAGCUAAUACCGCAUGACAACAGUUAUUGCAUGAUAACUGUUUAAAAGGGGCAACUGCUCCACUACCAGAUGGACCUGCGUUGUAUUAGCUAGUUGGUGAGGUAACGGCUCACCAAGGCGACGAUACAUAGCCGACCUGAGAGGGUGAUCGGCCACACUGGGACUGAGACACGGCCCAGACUCCUACGGGAGGCAGCAGGAGGGAAUCUUCGGCAAUGGACGGAAGUCUGACCGAGCAACGCCGCGUGAGUGAAGAAGGUUUUCGGAUCGUAAAGCUCUGUUGUAAGAGAAGAACGAGUGUGAGAGUGGAAAGUUCACACUGUGACGGUAGCUUACCAGAAAGGGACGGCUAACUACGUG